rnacentral:lncRNA from 1 species
UGUCAACCAUGAAAGACUGAAAAAAGCAAAACCAAGAUAUGUGAGUCAAUAAUGCUGCCCUAUUCCAGAGUGCCAGGACGCCAAGAGCCUGCCUGGCGCUUUGUGGCUCUGAGGGAAGCACACAGGAUGCACCCCUGUCAAGCACUCUUGGAUUUACUUGUGGUGACUCCUUGGAGUCUGUAGACUUCUGGACAGAAGAAGAAAAGAGGGAAUUCUGACAUCAGAAAAGUCUAUGCAAAUGAAGAGGGAAGGUGAGUUUUAUUCACACUGUUUGGUUUUAAUUUCAACUCAAGUACUGAAAAACACUCAGGAGAAAAUUUAUCUCGCUCUCUUUCUUCAGGGCAGAAAAAGUUCAAAGUGAACAUGUGAGGUCUCCAAU